rnacentral:rRNA from 1 species
AUGAAGCAGAGUGGUACCGCCAAGCUACUGAGGAUGGCCUCAUUGAUACUAUGGGACGAGGCCACCAUGACUAAGCGACAGGCGGUCGAGGCACUGGACAACAGCAUGCGCGACAUCAUGGGAAGACGGGACCGACCCUUUGAAGGAAAAACUGUUGUGUUUGGCGGGGACUUCAGGCAGGUGCUUCCGGUCAUCGGGAGGGGGUCCCGGGGUCAGAUAAUUGAUGCAACCCUCCGAAGUUCACAUCUCUGGAAGGGUAUGCGCCAGCUAAGGCUCGUCACCAACAUGAGGGCUCAUAAUGACACCUGGUUUACGGAUUACUUGCUAAGGGUAGGCAAUGGCACUGAGGAAGUUGACGAUCAAGGAAACAUACGACUCCCUGAAGAUAUUUGUGUGCCAUCUACAGGCGAGGGUGACGACCUAGAGAAGCUGAUUGACCAUGUGUUUCCGAGACUAGAUGACAACAUGUCCGAUCCGAAUUACAUGACUUCACGCGCAAUCCUCUCCACCACAAAUGACAACGUCGACAAGAUAAACAUACGCAUGGUAGAGCGUUUUCGGGGAGAAGAAGUAAUAUACCAUAGCUUUGACAGUGCAGAAGACGACCCAUAUGGCUACUACGCUCCCGAGUUCCUGAAUGGGUUGACUCCCAACGGUCUGCCUCCGCAUGCACUCAAACUGAAGCUCAACUGCCCUGUCAUACUUCUAAGGAACAUUGACCCGGCUAAUGGUCUGUGUAACGGGACGAGGCUUGUGGUCCGAGGUUUCGAGAGGAACGCCAUCGACGCAGAAAUCGUGAUCGGACAACACGUAGGUAGGAGGGUAUUCCUUCCUUGA